rnacentral:rRNA from 1 species
GACGAACGCUGGCGGCGUGCUUAACACAUGCAAGUCGAACGGAAAGGCCCUGCUUUUGUGGGGUGCUCGAGUGGCGAACGGGUGAGUAACACGUGAGUAACCUUCCCUUGACUUUGGGAUAACUUCAGGAAACUGGGGCUAAUACCGGAUAGGAGCUCCUGCUGCAUGGUGGGGGUUGGAAAGUUUCGGCGAUUGGGGAUGGACUCGCGGCUUAUCAGCUUGUUGGUGGGGUAGUGGCUUACCAAGGCUUUGACGGGUAGCCGGCCUGAGAGGGUGACCGGCCACAUCGGGACUGAGAUACGGCCCAGACUCCUACGGGAGGCAGCAGUGGGGAAUAUUGCACAAUGGGCGGAAGCCUGAUGCAGCAACGCCGCGUGCGGGAUGACGGCCUUCGGGUUGUAAACCGCUUUCGCCUGUGACGAAGCGUGAGUGACGGUAAUGGGUAAAGAAGCACCGGCUAACUACGUG